rnacentral:rRNA from 1 species
GACGAACCGUGCGAACGUUGUUCGGAAUCACUGGGCUUAAAGGGCGCGUAGGCGGCCCGCGAGGUCGGGGGUGAAAUGCCACGGCUCAACCGUGGAAGGGCCUCCGAUACCGGCGGGCUGGAGGGAGGUAGGGGUGCGCGGAACUUCUGGUGGAGCGGUGAAAUGCGUUGAUAUCAGAAGGAACGCCGGCGGCGAAAGCGGCGCACUGGACCUCUACUG